CAGCCGCCGCGGGAAUACGAAGGGGGCUAGCGUUGUUCGGAUUUACUGGGCGUAAAGCGCACGUAGGCGGACUUUUAAGUCAGGGGUGAAAUCCCGGGGCUCAACCCCGGAACUGCCUUUGAUACUGGGAGUCUUGAGUUCGAGAGAGGUGAGUGGAAUUGCGAGUGUAGAGGUGAAAUUCGUAGAUAUUCGCAGGAACACCAGUGGCGAAGGCGGCUCACUGGCUCGAUACUGACGCUGAGGUGCGAAAGCGUGGGGAGCAAACAGGAUUAGAGACCCCCGUAGUCCCUGUCUCUUAUAC
rnacentral:rRNA from 1 species